rnacentral:sRNA from 1 species
AGGGUAUGUCUUAUUCUUAACAACUGUAUGUGUUGAUAAGUGCAAUUAACUCCUGAAUUUGACUGAUUCGUCAUUUCUCGCGUAAUAUCUUUAUGGUAAGUUUUUUUUCAGAUUUUUUUUAUGAUUUGUAAAUACAAUGCGUAGGUUUUAUAAUUUUUUUUUUUGUGUAAUCAUUCCAAAUUUCUGUUUCUGAAGAUAAGCCUACAUUUAAAGGCGUCUCAUUGUUUUGUGUGUGUUUUGGGUAACGCAAUUUGUUGCCAUUACUCAUACAUCAGCUACUUAGUGAUUUUAUUUGCCUUAAAAAAGUCAUAUAGAAUUAAUUCAAAUAGAUUGUUUUUAAAUUCACCAUAAAACGGAAAUAAUGGUUAGCCAAUUGAAAAUCAAAACAAAAAAAAAUAUCGAAAUAAAAUAAACAAUUGUGAAACCCACAACAUAUGUGGGGCCCAUGCCAGCAAUCACGUUUGAAAUCGAAACAAUUGAAGUCCAUAGUGACAAAAAAAAGAAUAAACGGCAUUAUAUGACAAACAUAAAGUGGUGGUCACGUUUUCAGCAAACUCAUGUUGACAUUGUUGGACUGUGGAAAUUUUUCAAAAAAAAAAAAAAAAUCAAUAACAAACAUGCAAUGUCAUUGGUAUAAGACCCCUUAUAACAAAAUGGGCUUAAUUUUAUAACAUUUAAAAAAAAAAAUCCAAAAUCCCAAAACUUUCUUUUUCACUUGCCAUAAAACCUUAACAAAGCAAUGCAUGAAAUGUAAACACCAUUUGACGAUAAGAAAAAAAACCAAAGCUUUACCAAAAUACUUAAUUUUAACACUAACUAACUUUCAUUAUUAACUACUUUGGGUUGGUAAAGAAAAACGCCUUAAAAAAGCAAAAAAAAAAGUUUUUAAAAGUCAUUUACAGCUGCUGUCCCCAAACUGGGUGUGCUUGUGUUUUUGUCACUAUCU